rnacentral:rRNA from 1 species
GACGAACGCUGGCGGCGUGCCUAAUACAUGCAAGUUGAGCGCUGAAGGUUGGUACUUGUACCGACUGGAUGAGCAGCGAACGGGUGAGUAACGCGUGGGGAAUCUGCCUUUGAGCGGGGGACAACAUUUGGAAACGAAUGCUAAUACCGCAUAAAAACUUUAAACACAAGUUUUAAGUUUGAAAGAUGCAAUUGCAUCACUCAAAGAUGAUCCCGCGUUGUAUUAGCUAGUUGGUGAGGUAAAGGCUCACCAAGGCGAUGAUACAUAGCCGACCUGAGAGGGUGAUCGGCCGCAUUGGGACUGAGACACGGCCCAAACGCCUUCGGGAGGCAGCAGGAGGGAAUCUUCGGCAAUGGACGAAAGUCUGACCGAGCAACGCCGCGGGAGUGAAGAAGGGUUUCGGAUCGUAAAACUCUGUUGGUAGAGAAGAACGUUGGUGAGAGUGGAAAGCUCAUCAAGUGACGGUAACUACCCAGAAAGGGACGGCUAACUACGUG